rnacentral:rRNA from 1 species
CUACGGGCGGCACCAGUGAGGAAUAAUGCACAAUGGGGGGAACCCUGAUGCAGCAACGCCGCGUGGAGGAUGACGCAUUUCGGUGUGUAAACUCCUUUUAUAUGUCAAGAAAAUGACGGUAGCAUAUGAAUAAGCACCGGCUAACUCCGUGCCAGCAGCCGCGGUAAUACGGAGGGUGCAAGCGUUACUCGGAAUCACUGGGCGUAAAGGACGCGUAGGCGGGUUGGAAAGUCAGGUGUGAAAUCCUGCAGCUUAACUGUAGAACUGCACUUGAAACUUCUAAUCUAGAGUAUGGGAGGGGGAGAUGGAAUUAGUGGUGUAGGGGUAAAAUCCGUAGAUAUCACUAGGAAUACCUAAAGCGAAGGCGAUCUCCUGGAACAUUACUGACGCUACGGCGUGAAAGCGUGGGGAGCAAACAGGAUUAGAUACCCCGGUAGUC